AUGAAUCCAAGGGUCUGUUCUUGCGAGCUGCUGUCAUCUGCUGCAGUACUGUGGGAAACUACUGAGGUUCUACUGAGGAAUCCCAGGCCCGCCUGGGUGCCAAGAAGGACUUUCCUGGCCUGGGAGUCAAGGUGUUCUAAUGCCACUUUUACAGAUGUGGUCACUGCAGCUGUGAGGGCUGGGAAAGGGUUGGCUCCAUUUUACCAGGUAUAAACCUAUGACGUAGAUACUUACUCCUUAACCCAUCCCUGCCUCUUCACUCAAGGAAUAAUUACAGACAUCUUGGUCUUCUCCAGGCAAGACAAAAUCAUCCAGAAGAAGAAUGGCUACAUAUGUCAAGAGACUUACUGAAAGCAUAAAGCCUAAGACUGAUGGGAAUAACUUGUUCAAAAUAGUUAGCAUUUAUUAACCACCUACCAUGUACCAGGCACUGUGCUAAGCGUGAGUGAUACCAAGAAAGGGGGAAAAAAGAUAAGCCAGUGAAAUUACUGAAUGUGAAUGGUCUUGGUUUACCAAUGAAAAGAACCUGUGAAACAGUUGAGAUACAAGAAUAUAAUCAAAAGUACCUGCAUGAGUGAGUGAAAGCCACAUGAAGACCCCAAACAAUAUGGCACCAUAGAUGUUCUGACAAAUUGUGGUAUCAGUGGAUUUGUUUACAGAAAGGGGAGGGGUUUCAUGAUAGUGAUAUCAGACCAGAUCAAUGACCCCAGAAACUGGAAGAAGCUCAUUCUUAAGGAGCCUGGACUUAUUGGUUGAUGAAGACUUUGCAAAGAAAAUAGAAACUGUGCAGCCCGUGAUGAAGCAUUGACUUACAAGGAUAUUGUGGCUGGGAUUAUUCACCAGAGGCCCAUUAUUUUUCCUAAGUGAUGAGAUGACAAACCCCCAUCCUGCAACUAGAAACCACACAAUUGACUUGAGAAUUCAACAAACUCAUUAAAGUGGAACCAGUGAGCUAGCACGGAUAACCUUUUACACAAUGGCAUGGCUGUAGUAUUUAUUCCUUUCCCACCCCACUCUGGAUUUAAGAAUUUUGUUCAUAGAUUUUGCCAUACAAAGCACUCAGAACCUUCAAACCACAUGGAAUGAAAACCCUUUCAAUAUAUAGAGACCUUGUGGUGGGAAAAAUGAUUAUUAAGUGGGAAUAAUGUGAAGAAUAUUAUUUUCUUCAAUUUUUUUUCUGUCUCCAGGGACUCCGAGGAUUAUUAUAACU
rnacentral:lncRNA from 1 species